CCCGGUGGUGGCGCUCUGGUGCACGUCUAUUGCCUGGGGGCGCAAAACAUUGAAAAUGUGAGUGGACAAAAAUAAAGGUUUAGAAAAUAGCAUAUGACCAUACUAACCCCACAGUAAAAACAGUUAUGCAAAACUGAAUUAUCCUUUUCAUUAUAUUCGUACUGAAAUCAAUGCAUUCAUAUAUUUAUAUACAUAUAUGCC
rnacentral:lncRNA from 1 species